AUUUGAGGAAAGGAACGGUCACCAUCUUGAAGAAAGCCCUUGGAUACAAUGCCAGCAAUGUUUAGGGUGCAACUAUAGGCCCCUGUUCUGGGGCCCAUUGCAUUCUAUUAAAAAGAAAUCAAAGAGAAAUAAAAAAGAAGGCAAAAAGAAUUUGAGAGAGCGUCUCUCCACUGCACCGCACACCUGAAUGCAGUGUCGCUUUCCCCCUGCAGUUCAGAGUCCUUGAAAGAGGAACAACUUCAUCUGACUCGUUCAUUAAAUAAUCUGGAGUGCCUCCUGUGUCCAUGGCAGCUGUUAGAUUCAGAAAUUAAUGGUUUAUUUUGCAUAUUAAAUAGUGUAAAAGCUUUGUGUUUCUAGGAAGAGGAAAUAAGGGAGAGUCGUUGACCCUGGCCAGGGUGUGUGUGUGUGUGUGUGUGUGUGUGUGUAAGUAAAGGUUUGGGCACCCCUGAUGAUUUUCAUGAUUUUCCUUUAUAAAUCAUUGGUUGUUUGGAUCAGCAGUUUCAGAUAUCAUACAGUA